rnacentral:lncRNA from 1 species
CUAGACUUGGAAUCCAAGAAUUAGAAUCACAAAAUUAGAAAAGGCUACAAAUAAAACUAGUUAACCAUUGGCAAGUCGCUAUAUAUAGAGGAUGUUUUUUCUUAUUGCUGAAAUCUGCCCCUCUGCACUUCCUCCUGACUAGUCCUUAUUCUGCUGUCUAGGGAAAAGUGGAAAAAAAUAGGAUCCUUCUUCCCAUGUCAGAGCUUCAGUACUUGAAGUCAGAUCUCCUAUUCCCACUAAGUCUUGUCAACCACAUAUGCAAGCUCUGCUGGUUCCUAAUAAGAUGAGAACAUUUUGUAAUCUGGGUCUGAUGAGAGGCCACAUGUCUAUUUUUCCUCUGCCUAACUAGGUUAAAGGGGAAUGUCAACACUAGACUGGCCGUGAUGAAUUUUUCAGCAACAACCCUUGAGAACUAUCUACUGAGUGAUGUUUCUGCUAUGUUGUUAUGGAACUAAACAUCAUCCUUAUACUGGAAUAUCUCCUGGAGACUUGCAUUCCUGACUUAGAGGGAUAGCGUUGGAAGCAGACAUUGAUCAGCGCCAAGACAUGCUUGCUUUGUGUGAGAUCUCAAACCAUCUCCUCCAGCCAGUGACCCAAAAGGUCUACCAGGCAUUGAAGACAGUUCUUUCUAAGGAGGAAACUACAAGGCAAAAAUUCUCACCGGAUAACACAUCUUUUACUGUACAAUGAUUGGAAAGUAAUCAGGGAAGGGAAGAAAGAGAAGAGAAGAGAAGAGAAGAGAAGAGAAGAGAAGAGAAGAGAAGAGAAGAGAAGAGAAGAGAAGAGAAGAGAAGAGAAGAGAAGAGAAGAGAAGAGAAGAGAAGAGAAGAGAAGAGAAGAGAAGAGAAGAGAAGAGAAGAGAAGAGAAGAGAAGGGGAGAGGAGAGAAGGGGAGAGGAGAGAAGGGGAGAGAAGGGGAGAGAGAGAGAGAGAAAGAGAGAAAGAGAGAGAGAGAGAGAGAAAGAGAGAGAGAGAGAGAGAGAGAGAGAAAGAGAGAGAGAGAGAGAGAGAGAAAGAGAGAGAGAGAGAGAGAAUAGAACAGCUAUUGAAAUCAUGUGAAGAGUGGGAGUAGAACAUCAGGGAAGUAUUGAUGGACCAGACAUGAACAAGAGGGUGCUAAAAUGGGAAUCACACAAACACUGAACACUGAAUUUGUCUAGUGUUGCUGCUCUUUCCUUUUUUCCUUCAAAGAAACAUAAAUCACUUACAAAUGGAAAAAAGACACACUUCCAAAAUGGUUUUUACAUUACAACUAAUUUCCUAUUGAGAGCCAUUCCUUCUAGAUUCUGAAAAGCAAUAAAUCAACAAGCCCAACAGAUUUCCUUUCGUCU